UGGGGGCGUGGUCGCAGUCGGCGUGCCGCACCAAUGGCACGGGAGGUGGGCGGGGAGAAGAGGGCCACUGUCCUCCUCAGCAUGCCAAGUUUCCAACUGAAAGGCGCGUGACUCUUGUGUAUGCGAGGGGAGGGGGCGUGGCCAUCCCAGACGCAAGAGCCAGUCAAAGAUGAGCACUGUAGGGAUGGGGGCGUGGUCUUCCUCCAGUCAACCAAUGAAAAGGAGCGGUCCGCGGGUGCGGCGCUCCCUGUGGGGUCUCUGUAGUAGAUCCUCGCGCGCGGGCUUGGCAGCCCUGCAAUACUGCCCUGAGGCGCGAGGCCUCAAGUCCUUGCUGCAGGGCCUUGCGGGCUCCACAGGGCUCCGUGUCAGCGCAGAAAGGGCUGAGCCCUCCUUCCCUGGGAGCACCAGAGCCGACUGGAGACAACUUACGGUGCACACAGCCUAAAACCAAAUAGGGAUACUAGUCAAGCCCCCAGCCCACUACUCCUGCUUGCAACUCCUCUGGAGAUUCGCGGUGACAGGGUGGCCCUAGCAACGCUGAGGACUUUCUGCGAUCUCCGCGCCUCUGAGCGCCCUCAACUGCUCACGAUCAUGUGGCGCCACCUGCCGGCCCUCACGGGCGACCUUUGAUGUUUGCUAGCUCUCAGCAAACCCCUCAAAGUGUGUGUGGUCAGCUUCCCAAACUUUGUAAUCACAGGAAUUCUCCUGUAGUCGUGCUAUAAUCACAGAAUGAGAUGGGUCCUGUUUUUGGUUUGGUUUGGUUUGGUUUGGUUUGGUUUAACGUGCACCCUGGCAAUUUUGGGAAACAGGAAGGGGAGAGCUUCCUAAGAAGGCCCCUGAAAGCUUCCUCUGAAAUGCACUGGCCAAAUGCUGUUAGCUCCAGAGAAGAUAGAUUCUGGAGCACAGAUUGCCAAGACUCUCAAAUCUUCAGAGUAGAUGCGGUAGCACAGCAGCUCCCAAAUUGAACUUUCUGCCUCACAACUGAAGCGCGUUUUAAAAAAAAAAUGUUUUCCUGGUCUUACUUUGUAUUCCGUAAUCACAAUAGCCUUCCUCUUUGUCAAUACCCUAAGUAUUUUUUAUAAUUUCCAGGAUGAGUAAUUCCUGGGCUCAGUUCAGUGCUGUUCUUGCCAUUCUCUCCUCUUUUAUGCCUGUCCUCGUCCCUUCCCCCUGACCUUCUGGCUAGUGACUUACCAAACCAGGACCCGUAGCUCUCUUAUUUGAGCCCUCCCCAUAAUCCUCAUCUCCCUCUGACAAGGUUCUGUUAGCUCUGUCCCAACCAGAGUCUGUCAUGUUCUCAGUCACUGCCAGGGGAUCUUCCUGGGGUCUUUGCUGUUCCUGUGUGACUCAGCUUCUCCCAGAUGCCAACAUAGCCCUGUUUAAAGGCUUUGCUCAAAGCCCAUUAGACUCCAUCUCUCUCUCUCUUAUUUUUCUUCCAAGCAAAGAUCAUUUACUAAUAUCAUGUGUCAAUUACUCAUGUGGUUGAUAUCCACCCUCUCUCAAGAGUUGUUGUGCACUGUUAGUUCUAUCACCUCAGCCUAGAACAACUACAGAUACUCAAAAUCAUCAUAUAAAAAGUGCCAAAGAAAGAAAGGAGCUUUUGCUUUGACUAUUUUAAGUAAAUGGUCAACUCUAGUCCUAGCCCUCUGGUUUCUGGUGGGUUUUGUUUGUUUGUUUGUUUGUUUGUUUGUGGGGGUUUUCUUUUGCAUUUUGGGAAAAAUACUUUAAGUGAAGAAAAUGGGAUUCUUAGGCCUCUUAUGCAUUUACAAGAAUGGUAAUUACAGUUUAUAAGUUGAGGUCUUUAGAUGUCUGACAAAGAUUCAGGACAGACCCAGUGCUUCUAAGCCAGCUGACUGAAAAUGUGAGGACGAGGGUGUUCCAGGCUAAGAGGGAGACAGUUGGUGGUUCUCGAAUCUCAAAGGCACCGUUUGGAAUGGGAGUGCAGAGACAGGAAGAAGAACUUGCCAGACCUACAGACAUUUCCUGUGCAGAGAAAGCAACGGUCAGGAAAGUGCGGUCUGAGCCAUCUAGAAGCAGGCUAGAAGUUCAAGACUUAAGCAAAACAGAGCAGUACCUCCCGGCAGACACCAAAAAAUAAGCCAGGCUUAGAUUCACACAGGGUUGCUGAGCAAUCUUUAACCCCUGUGGUGGAUAUGGGAUGCUACUCUGCACGAAUAUUCAAGACACACAAAGCUGCCCAGACACCUGAGGCAAGCCGUUCUUCCUUCCAUUAGAGUCAUCCUUCAGUCUCAGAGGCUUUGAAGGUCAAAGGCUUACUCUUUCCUUAGAGAGAAGCUGCUGGUGCCCGUUUGCAGUGAGUAGCAGCUUCUGGGGCUUCGCAACCUACCUUCCAGGGAGAGAAGGUGGUGAUGUUUGUAGGAAGCCUUUUCUGGAAUUUUGGGCAGGGGAAGGGGAAUAGCACCACAAAACCCUAAUUUCUGACCAUAUUUCAAUCCAUAAAAGACUGCAGAGGGGCCAAGGUUCUAAAGGGGUAGCCACCGGUGUCUCACCCUCAAUGUUUUCUCCUCGCCUGAACUUGAAUGAGUCACUCAAGCUAAGCUAAAACCCCCUGCAAAUAUCCUCCACUAAACUUCCCCUCCCAGAAUCCCUCCUUCCCUAGAAAAUAAGGGAGAAGAAUGACAGCUCAGUUUUCUUCCAUCCAGAAGGAAAACCUCCAAAUCUGCUGGUUCGGGAAUUAAUUCUGUAGCCAGACCCAACUGUGUCUCCAAGGACGAUGCUCUGGGUUUUCUAAAAGACUGCAAGAAAAAUGCAAGUGUUUCUCUAUAUACAUUCUGUUAACACAAGGUCUGAUUAGUAGAGAAGGUUUUAGUUCUGAGAUUCCCUCUGAAUGGGAUUUGGGGGUAUGGGAUGGAACCCAGGGCCGUGAGCAUAUGCUCUGCCACUGAGUCCGUUCCAGGCAAGAGUGACAUCUGAAUGCCAACAGAACACAGUCUUCAGAGGAAAACCAGGAACUAAAAACAAGGGAGUUACACGAACUCACCCUUGAAUCCACUCUGAUGGCCCAGAGGGAUUUCUCAGAAGCAAUACUGUGCACUUGCUUUAAGUAAUAGAACCCUUUUAGACUAAAUGAAAAAUUUUCACCGCAGUUCAUAAAAGCAGUUAAGAGAAAGCCUGAGGCUUGCUUAUUUUCCCCAGGAGGCCUUGCAGGCUUCUGUUAGGACUUCUGCAUUCCCUUCCCUUUUCUAGAUAUUUUCUGGACAUGGUUAAUGAAAAGAAAAGGGAAAACGUGGCCUUUUGACGGUUGGGAAAAAAGGUUUCUUGCCAGGGGUUACUCUGGUGCUGUUAUGCAUUCAGUGAUAACUACUAGCCCCCAAGACCUGGUUACCACCAAUGAGCAGACCCUCAUACAUGCCAAGUAAUGCUAUGUAAACCUUGCCCCCACCCCCAGCUUAAAGUUAUUGGUUAAAUAAAAAUGGCUACAGCCAAUUACUGGGGAGAAUAGAGGUAGGUGGGGUUUCAGUUACUGGGCUGGGGGUCAAAGGUAGGGACCACAGUGAGAAUGAAGAGGAAGAGGGAAAAAGACAGAGAGAGCAGGAGGCCUCCAUUAGAUGUUAUGAACCAGGAACACGUGGCUGGGUGAAAUGUCCUCUGUGGAUGGACUGAUGGAGCAGAAAUAACCCAGGAGACCUGGGACCCAAUAUUUCAGACCCAGGCUGCCUUUGAACCUGCUAUGAGACUGAGGAUGCCUUAACUUGCCGAUCCUGUCAUCCUCGUCUUCUGAGUGCUGCAAUUCAAGGCAAGCACAACCAAGGCUGUGCUGCUAGAGAUCAGAUCCAGGGCUUCCUGUAAACUAAGCAAGCAUUCUACCAGCUGAGCUACAUUCCCCAGCCCUUGCUUCUUUAAAUUUUAAAUAAAAAAGGUUAUGUUUCUUACCCCAUUUCUUCUUUUUCAUUUGUUUACAGACCUAUUGGUCUGUGUAUAUUGUUUCUCUAGUGCAUUCUAAACACAGCUCUAGGCACUGGGGAGCUACAAUAUGGAAUCCUCAGUUGCCCCAAGAUACACAUCUAUAAUCCUAGCACUCAGGAGGCCGAGGAGGAAGAUCCCAAGUUUAAGUUUGGGGCCAUACUGGGCUAUACAGUGAAAUUCAACCAAAUCCAACCCCACCUCCUCCUGAAAAACAAACAAACAAAAAACUUGCUGGUAAGAAAGCUAGCCACAAACACUACACAGCAAAGGAUAGAACGCCUGAAAGGAUACCCAGCUACCCAGGAGUCUGAGGCUGGAGAAUCCAGACCUCAGUGGCAAUUUAGACACUUGUUUAAAAAUUCGAGACCUUGUUUAAAAAACCAAAGAAGAUACAGAUAAACAAAGGCAAGCUGGAGAAACAGCUCAGUGGUUAAGAGCACUGGAUGCUCUCCCAAAGCAUCCCAAAUCCAGUUGCCAGAAUCCACACAGGGAGCUCACAACUACCUAUAACUCCAGCUCCUUUUCCUGCCACCAUAGGCACACAUUCACACAGACACAGAGACACAAAUAAAAAUUCUAAUUGUUUUAAAAACUGAGGAAAACAUGGUAGUCUUCAGGUUGCUCCUGGAACAAUGAGGGUUUUAGGUUGGGUAUAGUGGAGUUCUCUAUUCAUCUCAGCACCUGUGAGGUGAGGCAGAAGGUUCACAAAUUCAAGAUCAUUCUGAGCUACAUAAAGAGACUCUAUCAUGAAAGGAAGAAAGAAAGAAAGGAAGGAAGAAAGGAAGGAAGGAAGGAAGAAAGGAAGGAAGGAAGGAAGGAAGAAAGAGGGAACAAAGCUAAGUAGUUGGACAAGAUCAUUCCCUCAGUAAAAUGCUUGGCCUGCAAGCAGUGGGACACAUGCCAAAUCUCUCUCUCUCUCUUUUUUUUUUUUUUUUUGGUUCUUUUUUUUUUUUUUCGGAGCUGGGGACCGAACCCAGGGCCUUGCGCUUCCUAGGCAAGCGCUCUACCACUGAGCUAAAUCCCCAACCCCACAUGCCAAAUCUCUUAAGUACUCUCUUCCACACAUACAGCAUACACACAUACACACACUACUCACACACAUACAGUACUCUCUUCUACACAUACAGUACUCUUGCACAUACAUACAGUACUCUCACACAUACAAUACUCUUAUACACGUGCACAUAUAGUACUCUCACAUAAACAUAUAAUACUCUCUCACACACAUACAUAUAGUACUCUCUCAGACACAUAUAGUACUCACUCUCACACACAUACAUACAAUACUCUAUCACACACACAGUGCUCUCUCUCACACGCACACACAUACAGUACUCUCACAAUACAUACAAUACUUUCUCACACACAUACAGUACUCCACAUACUGUACUCUCACACACAUGCACAUACAGUACUCUCACAUAAACAUAUAGUACUCUCUUACACACACAUAUAAAAUACUCUCUCACACACAUACAUUACUCUUAUACACACACAGUACUCACCCACACAUACACAUAUAUACUCUUAUAUAAAUAUACAGUACUUUCUCACACAUAGGCAGACACACACAUUCACACACACUCGCAUGCACAUAUACAAAGAGGUUUUGGAUAUGUAACAGAAGAGCUCUUCCAAGAAAGCCACACUUACUUGUGCUCCCUUAACUAAAUGUGGUGAUCUGGCUUCACCAACAAGACUUACCUUUGUACUGUCCUGGAGGUUUGAAAUCCUAGAGCAAGGUCUAGUGGGGCAGGUUUCUGAUGAGGCCUACUUCUUGGCUUGCAAACAGACAGUCCUCACACAUCUGUCCUGUGAAGCUUGCUUCGAGGAAGCCAGCUCUCCGGCACCCUCUCUUACAAGGACAUUAAUCACUGAAUCAGGAUCCAACCUUUCCCCAUAACUUCUUCUAACCUUAAUUUACUUCAUUAGAAAUUCUCCCCCUCCCUUUUUCCUUUCUCCCUCCCUUCUCCCCUCCCCCUCUUCCUCUCUUCUUCCUUUUCCUCCUCCUCCUCUUCCUCCUUGGCCAGCCCUCCUCUUCCUCUUCUUUUUUAGUUUGGUGGGUUUUGAGACAGAGUCAUACUAUUUGACCCAAGCUAGUUUCAAGUCUCAAUCCUCCUGCCUCAGCCACCCAAGUGCUGGGAUUACAGGCAUGUGCCACCAUAUCUGGUUAGUGUCCACUUUCAAAUAUAGCCGUACUAAAAGAUAUGACUAGAGAGAAGUGGUGUGAAUAUUAAUACCUAACAAAGAGACAGAGAAAAGGAUGAAAUCCACAAUAACCAGUGGGAAACCAGGAACAAGGCUAGAGAGACAACACUGAACAGCGUGUGCUCAGAAAGCCGGUGCCGUAGUCCAUGACAAGGACCAGCAGGGAUCUUGGGAAUUGUUGAGACUGGUCUAUAAUGGGCUGAAUACUAAGUUUCAGAGCUUAUGUUUUACUGUAUAAGGAGUCUGAGAAGUUCUAAGUGAAAGAACUGACAUAUUGGAAGAUUAGUCCAGCAGUUACCAAGAUGGUGGCAUUAAGACCCCACUGAUUUAUUUAGGGAACUCCAUCUUGUUUGUUUCCUGUGCGUGUGUGCAUCUGAUUACAUAUUGUAUGGGAGUAUGCACACAUGAAUAGCAGAUAUGUAUGCCCUUAAAGGCCAGAGGCCAGCACUGGGUGUCUUCCUCUCUCACACUCCACUGAACCUAAAGUUCACUAACUCAGCAAGGCGGCUGACCAAUGAACUCCAGGGGUCCACCACAAGGAUUGCAGAGCUCAAGUGGAUAGUUCUGGGGAUUCGAACUUAGGUCCUCAUGCUUGCGGGCAACAACUUUACUGACUCACCAUACAUCUGCCUGGUCCAAAUUUGAGGAACUCGGGCCACUGAGCAGAAAACACCUUCGCGGUUUACAAAGCACUUUCUCAUAUACCAUCCUGUGUCACUUAAGGCUGUGGAUACAUUCUGUGUAUAGUAAUGUGUCACAGGUAAUUUUGUCACUUUGCAAAUAUCAAGUGCACUCACAGACCUAGGUAGUGAAGUUUGGUGACCCCAUGUGGCCUUUUGUGGUCCACUGAAGAUGUGUCAGUCCACCAGACUCACCCAGCAUACUGUCUUCCAGUGGACUUCUUUUUAAUGAAUAAAAGAAGGAGAUUUUAUAAUAACAACAAAAAGUAUAGUAAAAAGGCAUGGUGACACUCAAGAAGCUGAUGCAGGAGGAUGGUAAGUGGUAGGCCAGCCUAGGUGUCUUAGUUAGGGUUUCACUGCUGUGAACAGACACCAUGACCAAGACAACUCUUUAUAAAAGACAACAUUUAAUUGGGGCUGGCUUACAGAUUCAGAGGUUCAGUCCAUUAUCAUCAAGGGGGGAGCAUGGCAGCAUCCAGGCAGGCAUGGUGCAGGAGGAGCUGAGAGUUCUACAUCUUCAUCCAAAGGCUGCUAGUGGAAGACUGACUUCCAGGUGGCUAGGGUGAGGGUCUUAAGCCCUCCAAUGACACGCCUACUCCAACGAGGCCACACCUCCAAAUAGUGCCACUCCCUGGGCCAAGCAUAUUCAAACCAUGACACUAGGUAACAAAGCAAGAGCCUUCUUCAAACAUAUACAGAUGGAAGACCAAUGGGAGCCAGGACCAGAGCUAUUAUUCUCUCUAUCAGACAUCAGAUACCAUAUGGGAUUGUGUGCCCUCUGCUCGUACGUGAGUGGCAGAGGGUAGGUUUGUUUAUUCCAGUGGCAUCACAAAGAUGUAGAUGGUAUGUUGUCCUAUGACAUUUGACUGUCACUGUCACCUGUCACCAAGUGUCAUCUGCCACCAAGCAGUGGGAAUUUUUCAGCUCCACAUUAUCUUUUUUAGUGUGUGUGUGUGUGUGUGUGUGUGUGUGUGUGUGUGUGUGUGUGUACAUGCCCUCAGGGGUUAGAGGCAUUUGAUUCCCAGGAAAUGGAGUUACAAACAUUUGUGAGCCACCUAAUGUGGGUGCUAGGAACUGAACCCUGAUCCUCUGGAGAAGAAGCACCUGUUCUUCAGCGCUGAGCCAUCUCUCCAGCCUGUCUCUAUUAUAAUCUUAGGGGCACCGUCGUAUGUCUAAUACAUCCUUGGUUACACUGUCACUUUGGUGUUCAAAACUUUAUCACUUUAACUGUCCCUCACAGUUGUGAUAUGCCACACCUCCAGUCACUGAUGGGGCAGGAACAAAGAUCACAUGCCACAGGAGUCCCCAAAAGACUUGAGGGGACACCACAUCUUCCAUUCAGGAAGUCCAUACUGGGAUCACAAGCUACUACCCCCAAGUCUGAGUGGGAAUUAGAAAUUUUAGACCAAGCAUUCAGUUUCCCGGGUUGGCCUAGACUCCUGAUCAUAGGUCAGACUUCCUGAUAUAUUUCAUUUAAGCUUCUAGAACUGUCUAAGCAGAGGCAUCAUACCCUAAUCCCUACACUAGAGGCUGAGGCAGGAAGAACUUCUCAUAGAGCAAGAACCUAUCUUGAGAGAUAAAAUAGGGGCUGGAGACAUGGCUCAGGGGUUUAGAGCACUUGCUGCUCUUGCAGAGGUUACAGGUCCAGUUCCCGGCACUCUCAUGGUGGUUCAUGACCAUCUGUAAUUCUAGUCCCUCUUGUGGCCUCCACAGACACCAGGCACAUACAUGCUGACAAGAACAUUCAUACAUGUAAAAAAUUUCAGAUGUAGGGCUGGGGAUUUAGCUCAGUGGUAGAGCGCUUACCUAGGAAGCGCAAGGCCCUGGGUUCGGUCCCCAGCUCUGAAAAAAAGAACCAAAAAAAAAAAUUUUCAGAUGUUUAAAAACCUCCCAAAACAGGACUUUUUGGAAGGAAAAGAUAUUAUUAAUCAUUACUCCAGUUUAAAGCUUAAAGCAGAACAGUUCCAGACAAAGGCAAACAGUAUGUUCACAUAAUAAUUGUGGACAGGGAUAUGUAGUGUGCAUGUGCAUGUGUGUGUGUGUGUGUGUGUGUGUGUGUGCAUCUGCAUGCCUGGGGAGGGACAAAGGUCAACAUUCUCAAUCACUGAACCUGGAGCUCCUUGAUUGGCUGGGCUGGCUGGCUGCAAGCCCCACCCACCCUUCUGUAUCUCCACAGAGUGGGGAAGUGUGCCCCUGUUUAUGUGGGGGAUAGGGAGAGUGUUACAGGGCAUACUGACAUGCCUACCUUCAUGGGGACUGGGCAUGCAAACUCAGGUCCUCAUGUUUGUAUUACAAAUGCUAUACCGACUGGGCCACCUCCCUAGCCCUAUCUUCUAGUCAUGGAAAGAGUUAGCACCACUGUUCCUGCCAACCAAAAAACCCUACACACACUUUCUACAUCACACUCCCCUCCCCACCUCCACUCUAGCUGUAAUCCUCGCUCUUACCUUGUCCUCUCCUACCCCACCCCUGCCACUCAAGCCCCCAGUCCCACCCCCAACCCUCAAUGCAGACGAUCAGGGCCCCUUGCGUGUCAUUGGAACCAAUAGCCCCAGCUCCUUUUACUUCUCAGACAAGGUCUCAGUCCAGUUGCCCGGGCUGGCUUUGAACUCGUGUUUUAGGUGCUCCUUGGACUUUCAACUCUCUUGCUCGGCCUCUCAAGUAACCAAGAACAGUAGCCCAAGCCACGAGGUCCAGCAGUUACUACACUGUUUAACUUAGGAAGGCCCUGGAGGAAGGCAAAGACAAAGCCUUCCAUGCAAUGGGUGAGGCACCAGGAGCCUUGGUUCUGGUCUUGGUGCCAAAUCGGUGCUAAGCCUAGUCUGCAGUCCCAACAUGCGGAUCAGACGCACCUUUCGGCAUCUUCUUCCAUUAAAUUUGAAAAGGCAGCACCGAGAAGGGGUGUAAGGGAGCUGUCCUCAGUAAAGACACAGCUUAUUAUGUGGCAUGGUGGAUCCAUGCAGAAUGAAGAACCUCCCUCUCUGCCACAAGAAAGCGGCAUUUUUAAAGGGCCGCGCUGGCUUCGUGAGUUUCUGCUACAUUAUUUAAAAGGAAAAAUAAAGACAUCUCCUUCGUGGUGCUUCUGUAGGCACAUCUGCUUGAAAGGAAUAUAAUAAGGUUAAUUGAUAAAAAAAGAAAGCAAGGGCCGUUAAUAAAAGAUGAACGGGCAGGUCCAGAAGCCACACCAGGCGCCCUGUGCUGGCUGUGCAAACCUUCCAUCCGCAGCACAUGACAUUUGAGGUGUUGCGUUCCAGAGGAAGCUCAUUUAAUAUUCGCAAAGGAAGCUACAUGGGAGAAGCUGGUUAAUUCUAGGAACAGAGGCUGAACUGUGCAAGCCACUUCACCCAACACAGUUAAGCUCUGAGCUAUAUGCCAAAUUACCAUAAGCAGCCCCAGUCCUGUGGGUCCCUCCUGUGAGGCUCCCUGCCACGCUCCACAAGCCCGCUUGGCUGCUGCUUGUAAUGAAUUAAAGAUAUGUCACAGGUUAUCCUAAGGAUUGUAUAAUGCCAGCUUUGCAUUGCAAAUGAGCUCAGACUGAGAGCUAGGGAGAUACCUCAAUGAGAAGAAUGCUUGCCCAUAAGGGUGAAGCCUGAGCUGGAUCCCCAGCACCUAUAUAAAGUAAGUUAAUUAUAUGAUGUACAUAUAUAUGCAUGCAUACAUAUAUACAUAAUAUUCAUGUGCACAAUAUAUAUAUUUCAUAAUAUGCAUAAUAUAUAUAUAAGCCAGGCAUGGUGGCAUGGACUUGCAAUCCCAGCACUGUGGUGGAGAAAGGCAGACAGAUCCAGGAGCUCACUGGUUGGCCAGCCUAGCUUACUCAGCAAGCUCUAAACCAAUAAGAGACCCUGUUUCAAAAGAACUAAGGUGGACAGUGCCUGAGGAACGACACCCAAAGUAGACACCUGACCAAAGUCAGAGUAGACCAAAGUAGACAUACACAGAAUUCAUAAAAGAACCCUCUGUCCAACCCAAACUGUGGUAGGCAGUUGAAGAUAUCGAUUCCUCACGGGAGGCAAGACAUGUGGCCACCAUGUUUCGAACUACACUGGGCUGUUUUGAUCCUCUUGGCCUACUGGUUCAUAAUAUUCCAUUUUUGCAGCCAGUGACUAGGGCAACGCCUAGUACAAGAGGUUUAUCAGGUUUUGUUUUUAUUCAAGAGUAUGUGUGUGGGCUGUUCACACACAAUAUGCAUGCUGUGCCCGAGGAGACCAGAAGAGGGUGUCUGAUCCCCCAGAACUGGAAUUACAGGAUUGGGAGCUGCCUAGGAAACCAAUCUCUGGUUCUCCUCAAGGGCAGCAAGGGCCCAACCAGUGAGUCAUCUCUGCAGCCCCCACGGUGGCCUUAAUUACUGUGACAGAACAGUCAAGGAGCACAACCCCCAUUUGAAUGUGGCACUAGUGACAACCAUGGUGGCUUUCUUGAGCCACCCAAGGCAAAGCAAGAGUCAUGGGCAGAGGGAAGCUUUGGUGCUGCUCAGGACUGGGGUGGGGCCUCCUCUAGCUGGGUAUCUCAUCCAUUCUGCUAGGCUGGAUGGCCAGUGAGCUUCCCGGCUCUGCCUUUCUCUGCAUCUCGGUCAGUGGGGUUAGCAACACAUCCCUCUGUGCUCAGCUCAACAUAUGUGAGUCCUGGGGAGACAGACCUAGUCCUCAUGCUUGCAUGGCCCACACUUCACUGACCAGCUGAACUAUCUCCCCAUCAAGUAUAAUUCUUUUUUUUUUAAAGACACACCAGAAGAGGGCAUCAGAUCUCAUUACAGAUGGUUGUGAGCCACCAUGUGGUUGCUGGGAUUUGAACUCAGGACCUCUGGAAGAGAAGUCAAUGCUCUUAACCACUGAGCCAUCUCUCUAGUCCCCAAGCCUAAUUCUUAAAAUGUGUAUUUUGUUGGAAAAAAAACCAUAUCAAAUAUGCUAUUCUCAGAAAAAAGAAUGUGGCUGGGUCGUGGUGGUGCACACCUCUGACCCCAGUACUUGAGAGGCAGAGGCAGGUGGGAUCUCUGUGAGGCCCAGGCCAGCCUGGUCUACAGAGUGAGUUCCAGGACAGCCAAAGCUACACAGAGAUACCCUGUCUUGAAAACAAAGCAAAACAAAAACCAAAGAACAGAAAAAGGAUGUGAACUUCCAGCGUGAUUUCUCCCUGAAGCACUAAGCAUUCCGAAUUACUGGGAGGAAGAUGGCUCAGCGUGUAAGGCACUUGCUGCCCAAACAUGAGGUUCUGGGUUCGAAUCUCCAGUACUCGCAUGAAACCUGGGCACAGCUCUCAAGUUUCUACAGCUCUAACACUAGUGGGUGGAAACCUGUAGCUGCUGGCCAGUCAUCCUUGUCAAAACAGCAAGCUUUAGGCUCAGUGAGACACUGUCUUAAGGGGAUAGAGCAGCAGAAAAGGACAUCCUCCUUUGGCUUCGACAAGUACCCAUGUGUAUUGCAUAUGCACAUGAGUAAACAUACAUACAUACAUGCAUGCAUGCAUGCAAACAUACAUAAUACAUGCAUACGCACAUACAUACACAUACACAUACAAACAUACAAACAUACAUGCAUACAUACAAACAUACAUGCAUACAUACAAACAUACAUACAUGCAUAUAAACACAAACAUACAUGCGUACAUACAAACACGCAUGCAUGAAUACAUAUAUGCAUACAUACAAACACACAUACAAACACACAUACAUACAUACAUACAUACAUACAUACAUACCCUUUUUUCUUUUUUCUUUUUUCUUUUUUUUUUUCGGAGCUGGGGACCGAACCCAGGGCCUUGCGCUUGCUAGGCAAGCGCUCUACCACUGAGCUAAAUCCCCAACCCCACUACCCUUUUUUAAUUAAGAUGGUGGGCUGCAGAGACGCCUAAGCAGUUCAGAGUGCUUGCUGCUCUUGCAAAGGAUCUGAGUUUGGUUCCCCACACC